CAGGUAUGUUGUGCUGGUAGCUGUCUGUUGACUCAGAUGCCAAGUCUACAAAACAUCAGUAGUUUCUGGAUGAUGACCUGAAGUGAUGCAUUUCUGGACCUUCAUUGUGACAAGGUUCAUCAUCAGGAACAUCAUGAAAGAUCAUGUUGCCGUCUUCCAUGUGCCACCAAACUCCUUCGCCAGAAAACAGAUUUGAAAGGAGAUCGAAUCCGCUAGACAAAUUCAUCUACAAGCCUGAUGAC